rnacentral:rRNA from 1 species
GGCAAGGGUUGCCUAGUAACGGCGAGUGAAGCGGCAACAGCUCAAAUUUGAAAGCUAGCCUUCGGGUUCGCAUUGUAAUUUGUAGAGGAUGAUUUGGGGAAGCCGCCUGUCUAAGUUCCUUGGAACAGGACGUCAUAGAGGGUGAGAAUCCCGUAUGUGACAGGAAAUGGCACCCUAUGUAAAUCUCCUUCGACGAGUCGAGUUGUUUGGGAAUGCAGCUCUAAAUGGGAGGUAAAUUUCUUCUAAAGCUAAAUAUUGGCGAGAGACCGAUAGCGCACAAGUAGAGUGAUCGAAAGAUGAAAAGCACUUUGGAAAGAGAGUUAAAAAGCACGUGAAAUUGUUGAAAGGGAAGCGCUUGCAAUCAGACUUGUUUAAACUGUUCGGCCGGUCUUCUGACCGGUUUACUCAGUUUGGACAGGCCAGCAUCAGUUUCGGCGGCCGGAUAAAGGCUCUGGGAAUGUGGCCUCCACUUCGGUGGAGGUGUUAUAGCCCAGGGUGUAAUACGGCCAGCCGGGACUGAGGUCCGCGCUUCGGCUAGGAUGCUGGCGUAAUGGUUGUAAGCGACCCGUCUUGAA